rnacentral:rRNA from 1 species
GACGAACGCUGGCGGCGUGCUUAACACAUGCAAUUCGAACGGAAAGGCCCUGCUUUUGUGGGGUGCUCGAGUGGCGAACGGGUGAGUAACACGUGAUUAACCUGCCCUUGACUUUGGGAUAACUUCAGGAAACUGGGGCUAAUACCGGAUAGGAGCUCCUGCUGCAUGGUGGGGGUUGGAAAGUUUCGGCGGUUGGGGAUGGACUCGCGGCUUAUCAGCUUGUUGGUGGGGUAGUGGCUUACCAAGGCUUUGACGGGUAGCCGGCCUGAGAGGGUGACCGGCCACAUUGGGACUGAGAUACGGCCCAGACUCCUACGGGAGGCAGCAGUGGGGAAUAUUGCACAAUGGGCGGAAGCCUGAUGCAGCAACGCCGCGUGCGGGAUGACGGCCUUCGGGUUGUAAACCGCUUUCGCCUGUGACGAAGCGUGAGUGACGGUAAUGGGUAAAGAAGCAACGGCUAACUACGUG